rnacentral:rRNA from 1 species
GAUGAACGCUGGCGGCGUGCUUAACACAUGCAAGUCGAACGAGAAGUGGAGACGGAAACCUUCGGGCGGAAGACUUUAUUUCGAGUGGCGGACGGGUGAGUAACGCGUGGGUAACCUGCCUCAUACAGGGGGAUAACAGUUGGAAACGACUGUUAAUACCGCAUAAGACCACAGCACCGCAUGGUGCGGGGGUAAAAACUCCGGUGGUAUGAGAUGGACCCGCGUUCGAUUAGCCAGUUGGCGGGGUAACGGCCCACCAAAGCGACGAUCGAUAGCCGAUCUGAGAGGAGGACCGGCCACAUUGGGACUGAGACACGGCCCAAACUCCUACGGGAGGCAGCAGUGGGGAAUAUUGCACAAUGGGGGAAACCCUAAUGCAGCGACGCCGCGUGAGUGAAGAAGUAUUUCGGUAUGUAAAGCUCUAUCAGCAGGGAAGAAAAUGACGGUACCUGAGUAAGAAGCCCCGGCUAACUACGUG